rnacentral:lncRNA from 1 species
ACCAGUCGAACCUAUGUAAAACCCAAUAAACGCUGAUAUUGUAAUAUUGUUACCGGUAUCGACAAAGAUAUUAGCAUCUAAAACAAAUUAUUGUAGAAGAUAAACAAUGGGUAGGAGCAUGGGCAUUCUACAUAUUGUUAGACAUCUUGAAGCCCCCAUAAUAGGAUUGAUCAAAUGUUAGGUAACCUAAAAGAUGCGACAACUAUCUUUCAUAUUACAUGUGCCCUUAACUCAAACCGGGCAAAGUAUACAAUUUCAAUAACUAGAACUUAUAGAUGAUUCUACUAGAAUACUAUGCACAGUAUAUUUAUAAUAUUCAUAAAUCAAAACCUAUCAUCGUUCACCUGAAAGACUCCUGAGUUGCACAAACCAAUUUCACUACGCCAUACCAAAACUUUGUUGAACUUUCCUGGAUCCACCUGAUUGCACCUACUAUCCCCCUUCAUUACCGCUAAUAACCACAUAAUUUAAUUUUUUUGAAAUUGGCAUGCCAGACAAAUUUGGUCAAUUACAAACAUAUUUCUGCCUAAAAAUGCAUCCAUCAAAGGACACUGACUUCUUGUUGUCACUUCAUUUUGUUAGUCUCUAUUGCUCGCGCAUUCACAUUAAGGAAACGAACCAAAUGGAGCCAAUUUAUCCACACCACAUUAUUAUGGAUUUUCAUUGUUUUGGGUUUUUUUUAAUUUAAAGAGACAGAAUCUCACAUCCCUUGCN